CUCCUUUUCCCAUUUACACUCUAUCAGUGGAAUUAACAUCUCAUUCACUGAAUCAAUCGCAUAGCUGAACGAGAAUAUGACAGCUGGAAGGAGUUUUCUGAUCUUUGGUCAGCAAACAUUAAGAGCCUCACUCAUGAGCUAGAAGUGCCUACUUCAGAUCGAUAGAUGAUACAAAUGAAGAAUGAAAACAUCAUUUGAAAAUUGUCUUCUUGAAAUCAUUGUCUUGGUUCCCUAGGGGUGCUCUCCAAGCUCAGCAUGAAGCCAGAAGGAAGGGGCAGCAAUUACAUGGAGUAGCAAUAACAGACCAGCCUCCUGGGUGCAAAGCACGGUGGACAAGAAGCAAGUACUGGAAACUAUAGAAGCACAUGGUGAAGAAGACAAUUGGCCCCGUCUUAAGAGAUUUGAGGAAGACUUCCCGGAAGAAGUGACUUCCAAAGUAGGAUAUAAAGCAUAAGUAGGAGUUUGAAGACAAACAGUGUGGAAGAAGAAAAUGAUUCAGGGACUUCACAUGGAUCGUCCGAAAUUGACCACGAUGGAAAUGUUUGCUCACUGAAAUCAGCCUGUGCUACAAAUGAGAGCUCACCUGUGCCCUAGAUUGUUGUUAACCAUUUACCAGCACACCCCUGGAUAGAGGCCGUGGUGGGAUUUGAGUCAGGGUCCUCGAUGUGGAGGACAGUGAUAGCAGGAACCCUGGGCAAUAUGGGAGCAGAAUUAAAGAGGACACACAUCAAUGGUGGAUUGAACCCAAGCUGAGGAAUAUAUGGAACAGUGUGG